AGAGUUUGAUCCUGGCUCAGGAUGAACGCUAGCGGCAGGCCUAACACAUGCAAGUCGAGGGGCAUCACGAGGUAGCAAUACUUUGGUGGCGACCGGCGCACGGGUGCGUAACGCGUAUGUAACCUACCUAUAACAGGGGCAUAACACUGAGAAAUUGGUACUAAUUCCCCAUAAUAUUCGGAGAGGCAUCUCUCCGGGUUGAAAACUCCGGUGGUUAUAGAUGGACAUGCGUUGUAUUAGCUAGUUGGUGAGGUAACGGCUCACCAAGGCAACGAUACAUAGGGGGACUGAGAGGUUAACCCCCCACACUGGUACUGAGACACGGACCAGACUCCUACGGGAGGCAGCAGUGAGGAAUAUUGGUCAAUGGACGCAAGUCUGAACCAGCCAUGCCGCGUGCAGGAAGACGGCUCUAUGAGUUGUAAACUGCUUUUGUACGAGGGUAAACUCACCUACGUGUAGGUGACUGAAAGUAUCGUACGAAUAAGGAUCGGCUAACUCCGUGCCAGCAGCCGCGGUAAUACGGAGGAUUCAAGCGUUAUCCGGAUUUAUUGGGUUUAAAGGGUGCGUAGGCGGUUUGAUAAGUUAGAGGUGAAAUCCCGGGGCUUAACUCCGGAACUGCCUCUAAUACUGUUAGACUAGAGAGUAGUUGCGGUAGGCGGAAUGUAUGGUGUAGCGGUGAAAUGCUUAGAGAUCAUACAGAACACCGAUUGCGAAGGCAGCUUACCAAACUAUAUCUGACGUUGAGGCACGAAAGCGUGGGGAGCAAACAGGAUUAGAUACCCUGGUAGUCCACGCAGUAAACGAUGAUAACUCGUUGUCGGCGAUACACAGUCGGUGACUAAGCGAAAGCGAUAAGUUAUCCACCUGGGGAGUACGUUCGCAA
rnacentral:rRNA from 1 species